CACAGGGUCUUUAUACUGGAAACAGAAUUCCAGAAAGGUAAUGGGAGUCCUGCAAGCUGAUUUUCGGGCUAUGACACCAAAAAGAAAAAGAACAAGCAUGAACCUGCAGGGUGCUUCAGGAGGUCUUGAAGAAGUGCUAGGAAAGAUUGAAGAGCUCCUUCUGGCAUCGCAACAACUUCCAGAAUUGACAAAGACACUGCGAGAUCUGAUAGACCAUGCUUCCCCACUACCUUUCAUUGCUCAAAUGAAGGAAACAUUCUUGUGCUCAAUUUGUAAAGAUGUCAUGGAAAAUCCUAUGUUUUCUUCAUGCUGCCGCAGCAUUCUAGCAUGUGAAAUCUGCUUGGAGCAGUGGAAACAAGCAUCGCCUCUGUGUCCAAAAUGCGCUUCAGCAAGUCCUGACUUCUACAAAGUUGCUGGGUUGUCUAGUAGUUUGGGAGUACUGAAAAAUUUCCAUUCUGAAUAAGGAUCUGCAUGCUCUGUGGAAGGGGGAUAGGGAUAAUCUUCGUAAGGGCCUAUGGGUCUCACAUGAGGGUAUGGGUUUCUGAGAUUAGAUGAGUGAAUCAACAGUGGGCCUUUGGUGAUGCAAAGUAGUUAAAAAAAGACUAAAGUGUUUGAAAGUAACACUACAAUGUUCAUUCAAAGUUAUUCACUGAAUUUGUUUUGUGAGACAUUCUUUUCUGAAUUCUGUUAAAUUAUAUUGAAUAUUUUUAUUUUAUUGACUGUAGUCACACACAAAUGUUGUGG